rnacentral:rRNA from 1 species
AUACAUAAAUUUUGGUGUGGCAGUAAGGAGGGCCAGAGGAAGCCCAGUCGGGUUUCAUGGAGUAUGAUGACGAGACCAAAACAGUCUCGGGGCCUAGGUUUUCGGAAGAUAGAGCCUUUCAACCUCGCUCUUCUAGCCAGGCAAGCUUGGUAAAUCCUAAUGGAGCCAAAUUCGCUAAGUGCAUGGAUCCUUAAAUCAAAGUACUUUCAUUACUAAUUUUCUAUAGGCCGAGNNNNNGGGGGGGGUCCUUCACAAGUGUGACGGUGGAUUCUGGAAGGGCGUGACACUUCAACUAAAGGAAUUGUACGACGGAUAGGUGAUGGAGAAAUGAAAAAAAAUUAGCAGCAUAAUUGGCUACCUCAUCCCCAUAACAUGAGGACGAUCAUGAAUAGAGUACAGAACCCUCCACAGCUUAUAUGGGAAUUGAUUCUGCCUAAUGCAAUUUUGAACCGAGAGGCGGUUGCGGAAAAAUUCUUACCUACGGAUGCCAAAGCUAUUCUAUCCAUACCGAUGUGCACAAAACAUGUUGAUGAUUUCUGGUCAUGGGAACACAAGAAGAAUUGGCUACCUCGUCCCCAUAUGCUUGCUUCUACAAAACUGAGAUGCGCAACCUGGCUAGAUGGUGGAUUGGGUUCUUCAAACAGUGAAAGCGAGCAGAAAUCAUGGUCUAAGCUAUGGGAAAUAGAUGUACCCUCCAAGAUUAAAAAUUUCUUAUGGAGGUUAGCGCAGCAAUCUAUCCCAACAACUGAUCUUCUCAAUCAUCAGAAUAUUUCUUCUGUGACAUCGUGUGGACUAUGUGGCAAUGAGGAUUCUUGGCAGCAUCCUCUUGGAUUGUAA